GACGAACGCUGGCGGCAUGCCUAAUACAUGCAAGUCGAGCGAACAGUUGAAGUGCUUGCACUUCUGACGUUAGCGGCGAACGGGUGAGUAACACGUAAGGAAUCUACCUAUAAGCGGGGGAUAACAUUCGGAAACGGGUGCUAAUACCGCAUAAUAUCUUCUUCCGCAUGGAAGAAGAUUGAAAGACGGCUCUGCUGUCACUUAUAGAUGACCUUGCGGUGCAUUAGUUAGUUGGUGGGGUAACGGCCUACCAAGACGAUGAUGCAUAGCCGACGUGAGAGGGUGAUCGGCCACAUUGGGAGUGAGACACGGCCCAAACUCCUACGGGAGGCAGCAGUAGGGAAUCUUCCGCAAUGGGCGAAAGCCUGACGGAGCAAUGCCGCGUGAGUGAAGAAGGCCUUCGGGUCGUAAAACUCUGUUAUAAGAGAAGAACAAAUUGUAGAGUAACUGCUACAGUCUUGACGGUAUCUUAUCAGAAAGCCACGGCUAACUACGUGCCAUCAGCCGCAGUAA
rnacentral:rRNA from 1 species